rnacentral:rRNA from 1 species
UACGGGGGGGAGCAAGCGUUGUUCGGAUUUACUGGGCGUAAAGGGCUCGUAGGCGGCCAACUAAGUCAGACGUGAAAUCCCUCGGCUUAACCGGGGAACUGCGUCUGAUACUGGAUGGCUUGAGUUUGGGAGAGGGAUGCGGAAUUCCAGGUGUAGCGGUGAAAUGCGUAGAUAUCUGGAGGAACACCGGUGGCGAAGGCGGCAUCCUGGACCAACACUGACGCUGAGUGAGCGAAAGCCAGGGGAGCAAACAGG